AACUCUUGGCAAUGGAUAUCUCGGCUCUUGCAUCGAUGAAGAACAUAGCCAACUGCGAUACUUGGUGUGAAUUGUUGAAUCCCGUGAACCAUCGAGUCUUUGAAUGCAUGUUGUGCCCGAAGCCAAUCGGUUGAGGGCACAUUUGUCUGGGUGUCA